rnacentral:rRNA from 1 species
AUUGAACGCUGGCGGCAGGCCUAACACAUGCAAGUCGAACGAGUGGCGGACGGGUGAGUAAUGUCUGGGAAACUGCCUGAUGGAGGGGGAUAACUACUGGAAACGGUAGAUAAUACCGCAUACCCUAAGAUGUGCCCAGAUGGGAUUAGCUUGUUGGUGGGGUAACGGCUCACCAAGGAGACGAUCCCUGGCGGGUCGGAGAGGAUGACGAGCCACACUGGAACUGGGACACGGUCAAGAUUCCUACGGGAGGCGGCGGUGGGGAAUAUUCGCCAUUGAGGGAAAGCCUGCUGCAGCCAUGCGGCGUGGAUGAAGAAGGCUUUCGGGUUGUAAAGUACUUUCAGCGGGGAGGCGUUACCGGCAGAGAAAGCACCGGCUAACUCCGUGCCAGCCGCCGCGGUAAUAC